AAGGAAUGUCAGGGCGCAUUUAUUUAUCUAAUUAUUACUACGAUUUAAAAGUUCGCACAAAGACCUCAACGCGCGCACAAAGUUGCACACACAUUUGUAAGAAAAUAAAACUUACCCCUCGACCGAAGCGUUUCUUCGCUAACUUUGUUUUAAAACAACUAAUAAUAACUGUUGUGACAUACGCGCACACACACAAAUAUAACGCAAAAAAUUCGUGUCACCACCACCACCAACCACCAAACUCAAAGGAAUGGGGGAGACCAACAUCUGGAACGCUUCUCUCGCCUCGCUCUGAUCGAGGACUCACGUGACCAGGAGACAUGGUUGCUUUGGUAACGUUUACCAGUACCUUGGCCGUAUAUGGAUACAUACGAGGAGCUCCCGAGCGAGCGGCCCUCGUCUUCGUCCUCGGCGUCUUCCUGGGCCUCGUCUCGGCCGUCCUCUCCCUGUCUGCCCGCCGCCUCCCCCGCCCCCCCUCCCCCCCCCUCGCCCCCCUCGCCCCCCACCGCCACG